rnacentral:rRNA from 1 species
AGUGAACGCUGGCGGUAGGCCUAACACAUGCAAGUCGAACGGCAGCACAGUAAGAGCUUGCUCUUACGGGUGGCGAGUGGCGGACGGGUGAGGAAUACAUCGGAAUCUACUUUUUCGUGGGGGAUAACGUAGGGAAACUUACGCUAAUACCGCAUACGACCUACGGGUGAAAGCAGGGGAUCUUCGGACCUUGCGCGAUUGAAUGAGCCGAUGUCGGAUUAGCUAGUUGGCGGGGUAAAGGCCCACCAAGGCGACGAUCCGUAGCUGGUCUGAGAGGAUGAUCAGCCACACUGGAACUGAGACACGGUCCAGACUCCUACGGGAGGCAGCAGUGGGGAAUAUUGGACAAAGGGCGCAAGCCUGAUCCGGCCAUACCGCGUGGGUGAAGAAGGCCUUCGGGUUGUAAAGCCCUUUUGUUGGGAAAGAAAAGCAGCAGGUUAAUACCCCGCUGUUCUGACGGUACCCAAAGAAUAAGCACCGGCUAACUUCGUG